AACGCACGAGACCUGCGGACCUGCGGAGGGAUCAUUAACGAGUCUUGAAGGCGGAAGUUUGUAGCUGGCGCGCGGAGACGCGUGCAUGUGCACGGCUUUCGUUACUCAAUCCACUCACCCCCUUGUGCACCUUUGCAAAGUCGAGUAGCCUCCUUUAUGGAUGGUUUUUGGGGCGAACGUUAUACUAUAGUUCGCGGGAGGCGAAAGCUUUGAACUCUUACAAACGCAUUGUAUGUCUUG
rnacentral:misc_RNA from 1 species